rfam:Danio rerio chromosome 4, GRCz11 reference primary assembly.
GACAUGUUGGCCGUGUGCUUAAGGCAAUGGACUGCUAGUCCAUUGUGCACUGCAAGAGUGGGUUUGAAUCCCAUCCUCAUCG